UACGGGGGGGGCAAGCGUUGUUCGGAAUUACUGGGCGUAAAGGGCUCGUAGGCGGCCAACUAAGUCGGAUGUGAAAUCCCUCGGCUUAACCGGGGAACUGCGUCUGAUACUGGAUGGCUUGAGUUUGGGAGAGGGAUGCGGAAUUCCAGGUGUAGCGGUGAAAUGCGUAGAUAUCUGGAGGAACACCGGUGGCGAAGGCGGCAUCCUGGACCAACACUGACGCUGAGUGAGCGAAAGCCAGGGGAGCAAACGGG
rnacentral:rRNA from 1 species